rnacentral:rRNA from 1 species
AGUGCCUAGGGGCGCAGCAGUGGGGAAUAUUGGGCAAUGGGCGCAAGCCUGACCCAGCAACGCCGCGUGAAGGAAGAAGGCUUUCGGGUUGUAAACUUCUUUUCUUGGGGACGAAGAAAGUGACGGUACCCAAGGAAUAAGCCACGGCUAACUACGUGCCAGCAGCCGCGGUAAUACGUAGGUGGCAAGCGUUAUCCGGAUUUAUUGGGUGUAAAGGGCGUGUAGGCGGGAUUGCAAGUCAGAUGUGAAAACCACGGGCUCAACCUGUGGCCUGCAUUUGAAACUGUAGUUCUU